GAGUUUGAUCAUGGCUCAGGAUUAACGCUAGCGGCAGGCCUAAUACAUGCAAGUCGAACGGCAGCACGGGUAGCAAUACCUGGUGGCGAGUGGCGCACGGGUGCGUAACACGUAUGCAAUCUACCUUUAACUGGGGAAUAACCCCUCGAAAGAGGGGCUAAUACCGCAUAAUACUUUGAUGGGACAUCCCAAUGAAGUCAAACCUACGGGGGUUAAAGAUGAGCAUGCGUCCGAUUAGCUAGUUGGCGGGGUAACGGCCCACCAAGGCGACGAUCGGUAGGGGAUCUGAGAGGAUGAUCCCCCACACUGGUACUGAGACACGGACCAGACUCCUACGGGAGGCAGCAGUAAGGAAUAUUGGACAAUGGGCGCAAGCCUGAUCCAGCCAUGCCGCGUGCAGGAUGAAAGUGCUAUGCACUGUAAACUGCUUUUG
rnacentral:rRNA from 1 species